rnacentral:sRNA from 1 species
AGGUGAUGAUGAUAAG